ACUCAAUGCCAAAAACAUCGAUGAUCCCUUCAUUAUUGCCAUUAUCAAUAUGCUCGAAUCUCAUAAACAAAAGGGUAGCUAGGUGAAACAUCAAGAUCGGUCAGCUAUUAUAUUUCUGUUCAAACAUGGAGUUUCAAAUACUAUGCAUUUUUAGAGCUGCACACCCACCACAGGCUAGCCAACAUCGUGAUACUUGGGAGUGCAUUUCAUGAGAAAGAAUCACCUAGAUUUAGGUUUG